rnacentral:pre_miRNA from 1 species
GUAACUAAGGUUUGUAUGGAGUUGGAACGUUUGCCUACGUUUGCCGCUAGGGGCGCUGUUCCUGAACUGCCACAUAAAUUUGAGUUA